rnacentral:lncRNA from 1 species
GCGACUUGAUCGGUGGAGUUGGAAACUUCGAGCGAGUGGCUCGGACUGUCCAAUGGGCUGCAAUCAACAGGGAUCGUUCCAAACAUAGAGAUCAGGUUGAUGGCGCCUGGUGGCUACUGUUCGAUAGGGGUCGGUCAGACGUGACAGCCAGGUUCGACGGUGCGGUUGGAAGACGUCGUGAAUAAAGAUGCUUCGACUCGUAGUCAGAUUGAUGAGAUUUUGAUCUUGAUCGGAGUGAUCCAUGCUGGAGUAGUAACGAUGAUUGCGUAGAAUACGGUGAACUCAACGUGUUUUGAUGGAGA